GCCCCACGGCCGUCCCCCGUCCCGCUGCCCGGCUCACACGCGGCGACCGGGGGCAGCGGGAGCGGGUCCGGGGCUGGGGAAGGACCGAGCCGCGGGCAUGGAGCUGCCGCCGCCGCCUGCCUGAACCGAGCGGGGCGAUCGGCACGGAGCCGCCCGGCACGGAGCCACCCGGCUCGGCAUCGCCCGGGUGAUGGCAAACCUAACAACUCCUCCAGCCUGGACCAGAGUCAUCAACAGCUCCUUGGACCCAGGUGGCGCAGGAGAUAAUGCCUACAAGUGUGUAUUUGAUGAGGACUUCAAGUAUGUCCUGCUGCCCAUCUCCUACGGCAUCGUGUGCGUGCUGGGGCUCUUUCUCAACCUGCUGGCCCUCUACAUCUUCAUCUUCAGGAUCAAGACCUGGAACGCCUCCACCACAUAUAUGUUCAACCUGGCCAUGUCCGACACGCUCUACGUGGUCUCCCUGCCCCUCCUGGUUUAUUAUUAUGCCAUGGGGGACAACUGGCCUUUCAGCGUAGGCUUGUGUAAAAUAGUCCGCUUCUUGUUUUACACCAACCUCUACUGCAGCAUCCUUUUCCUCCUCUGCAUCAGCAUCCAUCGAUUCCUGGGCAUCUGCUUCCCACUGAAGUCGCUGCAGUGGGGACACGUUCGCUACGCCCGGAGGGUGUCGGUCAUCGUGUGGGUGAUCACUGUCGUGUGCCAGUCACCCGUGCUCUUCUUCGUCACCACCAGUGUGAAACGUGACACCAUCACCUGCCACGACACGUCCAGCAAGGACCUCUUCGGCCAGUUUGUCAUUUACAGUUCCGUGAUGCUGGUGCUGCUCUUCUGCAUCCCUUUCCUCAUCAUCAUCAUCUGCUACUGCCUAAUGGCCCGGAGGCUGCUGCAGCCCACACGGGGGAUCUCCAGGCUGUCCCGAUCCAAAAAGAAGUCAGUCAAGAUGAUAAUCAUCGUCUUGAUGGUCUUCAUCGUUUGUUUUCUUCCUUUCCAUGUCACCCGUACCUUGUACUACUCCUUCCGGAGCUGGGACUUGAGCUGUCAGACCCUCAAUACUAUCAAUUUAGUUUAUAAGGUGACUCGUCCCCUAGCUAGCACCAACAGCUGCUUGGAUCCCAUUUUGUAUUUCUUAGCAGGGCAACGAUUUAUGAAAUUUGCUGGCAACAAAAUGCCAGGGAAGCCUCAAAAUGAAAUGGCGCUGGGGAUCGUGCCCAAUAGUCACCUGGGAACCAGCAACGGCUCGGACACAUCAUCCAAGGAUGUGAAAUCCUAGCUCUGCUCCGGCGCGGCCAGCACCGUCUCCACGACAGAAGACUUUAUCCCAGCCCAGGUUUUGGAGUCCCACCCAGGGAUGAAUGUCCUGCAGAUGAAAGGCUCGCGUGUGGAUAGCUUUAGCUUUUACAGCAUCACACCCAAGCUUUUGCUGCAAUGACUUCUUCGUAGCUCAUACCAGCACCGACUCGUGUGAGUCACUCAAAUCCAAGAAUGAGAAUUAAGCAAGAAUAAUAUCCAUUGAUGGGGAACACAGAGCUUGUGCAGUUACUUCAGAGAAACAAAGCAAACAACAAAAAAAACCACCCACCAAACAUCAAAACCACUUUUUCUAAAUAUCUCUUAGCACUGGGAGCAGGAAGAGAAAGUUAAGAGCAUUGAUGGUUUCCUGCCAAGCAAACAAAUCUGCCACGUGGACUGGAGGCAUGCACACUUCUACUAGACCUUCCCAGCAUCCAAGCACAGGGCUUUUCCUUCCCAAUCAUGCCUUUCUAGGAAGGAGACCCUUAAGCUGGCAGAGGCAGGCAGCGAGCCAUGUUGUUACUGUAAGCCACUUGGUACGUUCACUUCUUUACCAAGUAGUGAGUCCUGGCUUCAUUUUUCUUCUGAUUUUCCUCCUCGGCUGUUGAUUUUCUAAGGAACAAGUCUGCCUGUCCCUCCAAGUAAUUUCUGAUCUAGUUGGCCAAUUCGAUAGACGGACAAAGUCUCUGUGCUACUGAGGUCCUACAAGUUUCAUAGAAAACUUGCCACGCAAACGAGAAAGAACCAAAGGAGCCCUCACCCAACAGCUCAACCUUUAUAUUAGACACCAGGGAAUCCACACCAGUUUCCCCCACACUGCAGCCUGCGGUGACUUGGGGAGGUGGCCAUCACACCAUCAAUGAUGAACGAGGAAAGGUGACAGAGGAAAGGUGCCCCAAAGCCAUCCAGGAGACCAACGUUGGGUUCAACGGGAGGAGAUUCCCAAAUCCUGCAAACUAAUCAUAUUAUUGCAGAAAUAACCAAAAACGGAUGGGCCCAGGCAGCAUUUUCUUUGCAAGAAACGAAACCAGUGGGUGUUUGAAAUAACACACCACCCAGCUUUGUGAGGAGUUUAUUUUAAGGCUUUCAUGGGUUUAAUACCAAUAUUUGCAGACUCCUUGGCAAAUAAAUGCUCAGGAAAGCCUGAAAGUUUAAAAUAUCCUUUUUUUUUUUUUUUAUCUCCCCAAAUACCUGCAAUUUUAGGCACUGGUUAAACACCAACGUCUUGGUGCGUGUUUUGGAGAGCAGCUGGACUGUGAAUGCACGCAUGUACACAUGUACGCACAUACACGCACACGUAUAUAAGCACAUUUAUGCCCACAAAGUGUCCUUCCCACGCUCUGGGAGAGGAGAAGCGUUUGAGGCCUCAUGCCUGAGCCCUGCCUGGUGCCUGCCCCCCCCCUCCAAGGGCAUGGGAAAGCAUACAAAACAGCCCUCUGUACCCCAAAACCUCCUAAUUUAUACAAGAACAGCAGUUCUUCAAAUCCUCCCAGCGACCUGAAAGCUGCCUGGCUGUGGCUCAUCACCCAUGAGAUGAGCUGCAAGGUCUCAGCUUGGCGCUGGAGGCUCCCAACUUUGCAGCAAUGGAUGUGCUGAAGCAGCCCCCCCAAAAAAACCAUCUUGAUUGGGUGGGUUUUGCAGCCCCAUUUGAUGCUGCUGGCAGUAGAGCAGGAGAUCCCCAACAAGAUCCUGCUCCUCUGUUUAUACCACCCGCUAUGAAAGGCAUCGUGUCACAACCCCACUUCCAUUCCCCCCCACACCCCCCAAAUCCUGGGGGAGCUCUGAGAUGCCCUCAAAGCACCAAGCUCCCACCCUUGAACUUGUAAAGAAAGGGGUGGGGGGGCUGCCAGCUGAGAUCCCAGCUGGUGGGAUCACCAGUGGGAAACCCUGGAAGAUGGUGGAAGAUGCGUGGAAGACUGAGGUCCCCGUAGCACAGCCAGCACCCUGCACCGAGUUUUAGUAGGGAAACCAUUUAGCUGAAUAGGCUGAACCCUGCUGCAGCAGAGUCCUCUGCUGGUGCUACGGGGAUGUGGCAGCAAGGAGAAAGGGGUCCCCACGUCUACCCUGAGGCAAAAUGGGGUUCCCCAUGGGAGUGCUAAUGAUGCCCUAGAAACAUCCCAGGACCACACCAAGGGAUGGAGCAGAGUCUCAGGGAGCACCGUGGUCCCUGUCUCCAUGCCGCGGUGUCCACCCAGGCACAGACGCAAGGGCAGGGUCCUGGUUUUCAUCCAUGGGACUUUCCAGGGGAUGAAGAUGUUUUCUCUUCCCUUUGAAGUUCCCCUUGCGUGAGCUGAGCCACAGCAUGUGAGAUGGCCGGGGAAUCAGCCUCUCCUCCCAUGACCUGCAGUUUUAAGGGCAAGGAAAGAGCCUGGUCACCAUCUGCCUUUCAUCAAGCCGCCCACCUGCCGCUCCAGCUUCAUCCCUGCCCACGCGUAAAGGCUCGAUGCUCCUUUAAUGUCCUUUCAUCCUUUUCUUAUCAAAACUGGGGCAAGUGAGUUGGAAACCAGCUGGCCACCAUUGGGAAAGGAGCCCAAGUGCAUGGAUGGAGGUGGAGGCCAUUUGGGACCCACAUUGGGAAGGACCUUGGUAUGUGUCCUUCACGAUGGGGAUUUGCCACCAUCUCUGCAUUUGGAAAAGGGUUUAAUUUGGAAGUAUGUCCCUGAUCAGCUGUUCACUUGGGCUAUGAACCUCUCUACAUAACCUCAUCCACGGUCAGACUGCUGGACCAGUCAUCCUGACCCCCCUGCACACACCUGCAAUGCCAUUAGUGAAGCUGUGAGCCCAGCACCAGGAUGUAAGA